GCACGCACGCGUCUGUGUGUGUGCUCAUAAACACACAAAGAAUUUGAUAAAGACAUUCAGAAUAUUCUUUUAAAAAAUAAUAUGCUCCCUGUGUUAUUAUUGCCUAGGCUGACUGCGAAGGAAAUGGAAGCUCCUGUCAUCUGCUCACUGAUCAAUAUCUGGGUGACUUGGUCGAGAGUUUAGGGUUGCAAAAGGUGAUAAGGUGCCUCACUUGUCUUCAUUGGAUACAGAUUAAAAUAACUCAUCUCCUGAUGGUAGUGGUGAGAUUUGCGACAAUUGGAUUAGCAGCAUUUUAAACUGUAGACUUACUGGAAGCAAAUUCACUAAUACCAAAAGAAGAGAUGAAUUAGUUGUAACGCCUUGUGGUUGUGCUUCCAAGCAGGAAAGACAGCUGCUGUCCCUUGAUGCAUUUUGGAUUCAACGUGAAAAGCAACGGUUCAGUCUUUCAUGGGAAAGCUCUGAGGAAGCUUUGUCUUGUCUCCUGGACUAUCUCCUGA
ensembl:lncRNA novel transcript